UACGAAGGGGGCUAGCGUUGUUCGGAAUUACUGGGCGUAAAGCGCGUGCGGCAGGCGUAUCCAAGUCAGUGGUGAAAGCCCGGAGCUCAACUCCGGAACUGCCAUUGAAACUGUUUAGCUUGAGGACGAGAGAGGUGAGUGAAUUCCCAGUGUAGAGGUGAAAUUCGUAGAUAUUGGGAAGAACACCGGUGGCGAAGGCGGCUCACUGGCUCGUAUCUGACGCUCAGGCGCGACAGCGUGGGGAUCAAACAGG
rnacentral:rRNA from 1 species